CGCGUAGGCGGUGCGGUAAGUCACCUGUGAAACCUCCGGGCUCAACUCGGAGCGUGCAGGCGAAACUGCCGUGCUGGAGUGUGGGAGGGGUGCGUGGAAUUCCCGGUGUAGCAGUGAAAUGCGUAGAGAUCGGGAGGAACACCUGUGGCGAAAGCGGCGCACUGGACCACAACUGACGCUGAGGCGCGAAAGCUAGGGGAGCAAACAGGAUUAGAUACCCUGGUAGUCCUAGCCCUAAACGAUGGAUGCUUGGUGUAGCCGGUACCCAAUCCGGCUGUGCCGCAGCUAACGCGAUAAGCAUCCCGCCUGGGGAGUACGGUCGCAAGGCUGAA
rnacentral:rRNA from 1 species